rnacentral:rRNA from 1 species
GAUCAUGGCUCAGGAUGAACGCUGGCGGCGUGCUUAACACAUGCAAGUCGAACGAAGCACUUUAAUUGAUUUCUUCGGAAUGAAGUUUUUGUGACUGAGUGGCGAACGGGUGAGUAAUACAUAAGUAACCUGGCAUCUACAGGGGGAUAACUGAUGGAAACGUCAGCUAAGACCGCAUAGGUGUAGAGAUCGCAUGAACUCUAUAUGAAAAGUGCUACGGG